GGGGGGGGGGGGGGGAAAAUGGCCGCCCGGGCCUGAUUAUCAUAAUCUGCCUGGCAACCAGCCGCGGCCUCGCGCGCUGAUUGGCUGAAACUCCUCCGCCAGCCACGAUGGGGCACAGAAUUCCACAAGGAAAGGCUUGGAGCGCCCAGCCUUCCCAGUUGACAAAGAAUUGGCAAAUGGGUCUGUCAUCCAGCUGUGUUUUCAGCAGCUUCUCUACCACAGCUGUGGGACUCAGCUUAUUUAAGUUGUAAUGGUUUGAUUGCCUUGAUUCAUGAACGACUCAUUCUGCCAUCUUCAGAGGUUAAACAUCGCUUCAGUCUUCCCAGGUGGACUAGAAGAGAUAAAGGAGACAGGAUGCCAUUGCAGGAAGAUAUGUCUCACCAAGCAAGAGGAUGAGAGUUGACUAAAUAUUUUCUGCAAAGCAGCCUCUCCUUCCUCUCUCCCCACUGCGUCUUCACUGUGCCUUUACUUGUAGACCUCUAGACCCUCAAUCUUUUGAGUUCUCUGUGUCACGAUCAAUGUUUGUGUUCAGUUCCUUGGAGAAGCAUCAGGAAUUGCCCUGCCUUGAGAUCCUGCCAGUGCUCAAAGCCUUGGAUCCAUCUGGAGAGAGAAAAUGAGCAGCAUAAAUUCCCAGUUUGUGUAUUAGCUAAAAAGGUGGUUAGUCUCUGCUAUUUCUGUAUUUGGGAUCCUCAGUCUGAAUGUGGGCUCAUUACUCUAUUGAAUUAUAUAUCAGAAGUAAUUUCUUUUCCUGGGAAGUGAAUACUGCAUAUGUGCAAAUCCAUUCCAAAAUGGAUUCCUUGUGUCUCUCAGAUGUUGCUUUUGCCUUGGAUAGUCUUCAGAAGAACAAAUUGUCCGAUGAAGUUCACCAUUGGUUUUGCCCCUCAUCUAGAAUUAAGAGGAGAUCAUAGAUUUAGCACAUUUUCUGGAUGCUGAGAUUCAUAUGCAGAGUGUUGAAAGAGCAGCAGCUUUCCUUAGCAGCCACUCUCUUGUGCUGCCCUUAAGCAUCCUGGAUUGAUGCAUUUUUCAUUUUCCAAUGCAAUUGAACCUUUCUGUGCUGGUGCAUCAACAAAGCUGUAAUAUCUCCAAACCUAACAGAUGGGUUAUUCUUAAGUUUUCAGUUAGAGGAGUAUUAAUGCCAGGCUUGUUUCCUUAACAGUCUGUUAUAUGCUGUAGGCAAGAAUUGUGCUGUUUGAGGUGAAUACUGCACAAAAUGCUGUGCAGAUCUGCCCACUUCAGACAUCUCAGUGGAAACCAGAUGAAUGACACUGUUUCAGGCAUGGACCAGAGCAGUGGGAAAAUGGCCAGCAAGAGUAAGUGUUUAUUGGUAUAAUGAAGGGUAGAUUUUCUCUGUUCCCUGCCAAUCCCUUUUAAAGAAGUCUCUGAGCAGAAACAAAGGCUUGCUGUCCACCACCAUUUACUUUGUCACUUCUUUUCACAGAUUUCUGUGCUGUUUUUCUCAUGUCUGCAGUUAUUCCAUCUAUCCCUGGUUUUAUGGUAGUGAACUGAGCAGUGAUGGCCUUGCUCUUGAAGAAGAAUAUCCUGUGUUGCAGCCUCGCUGCAGAACUUCAGUUCUAACACCCUGGUAUAUGUACAGUGCAGGACUAGUAGCAGGUGACAAUGCAGCUAAGGUUGUACCUCAUACUUACCAGAGAGACUUCUCCAAGAGUCACCAGAUUUAAAGGUUUUCAGAAAAACAAGGAUCACACUGUUGGAGUCAGUGCUGUGAACAUAAAUUCUCACCAAGCACCAUGUAAAUAUUAAAAGUAAAUUAAUUUUUGUAGCACUUAAAAUACUAUAUAAAUUCAACCUUGAAUGAAAGUCCUAUCCCAAAGAUUUAUAAAGAAUGUUAUGAACAAAAAAAGGGUUACCCAUUUUUUUUCCAAAAGUAAAGUUGUAGAAUUACAAGUUUCAUCAGUUCUGGCAGAAGAGUGCUUUUGUUAGCUGCUUGUUGUAAUCACAUGUUAGUAUCAGGUCGUUAGCCAUCUAUGGUUGAAAAUUCACUCUAUUGUAUCAGCAUCACCCUGCUUGUGGCCAGGUGGGAGGAUGGCAUCCCCCCCCAAAUGGUAGAGAGGAGGGGACCAGGAGUUGAUAUGCAGAUGAGUUUAGAGCCAAAAUGCAAUGGGGCAAGCCCCCAUUCCAAACGCAAUUAAUAAACCCCUAAACCAGCGAGCCAGUAUGGAAUUCAGAGAUCAAAUUGGUCUCUAGACAUCAGGGGUGAGGUGAGAAGCCAACAGAGACUCUGAAAACCUUAAUGGCCCCUCACCACAACUUUGGAAGAUGUUGGUUAGAGCCAGGACUCGAGGCUGCCAACCCAAUAUUGGGCUCCUGGAGUGUAUACCCCUACCUGCUCUUGUGAGGCUGGACCCCCAGCUCUGUCCCCUGGUGGACAAAGCUGCAUUUGCCUCCUCUUCCAGGGCCCUCCUGGGAGCUGCGAUGGUGAACAGGGCCUCCCAACCUUGAGCUGAUCACUGUUAACAAAGGCAUCAAAAAAGGGAGAAAAAUCUCCUGCCCUAUUUACUUCAAAGAACUUGUACAUUUUGGACUGGGGAAAAAACAAAAAACAAACCCUCCUUUUUAAGUAAAGAAAAAAGCCUAACUCAGAAUGUCUUGUUAUUUACUUCUGUAUUCAUAUUGCACAUCAGAAUACUUACAUAAAAUGUGCCAGUUUUCAAAAGCAACUUGUUACUCUGUUUUUCAGCUGAACUUGGCCAGGCUAAAAAGAGAAUUAUAUAUGCCAGAGGAUGUAAGGGUUUACAAAUAGUGUAACAAAGAGAGUAUAGUAAGUGACCAGUGGACCAGUCAGCAAUUUUAAUUAAAACUGGGCUGCUUAUUGAUCUGUUGUGCAGAUUCACCCCAUCUACAACAUUUCAGCAAUGUUCCUAAUUCAGAAAACAGCGCUUUUAAGAGCCAUAAAGAAUAUCAAAGUUAAGAAUGGAAAUGUUUUGUAACUGGGACAUUCUAUGCUAAGAUCUUUUUCCAUCUCAUUUAAGCACCUCACAUAUCUUCACAAAAAAAUGAAAGCAAAUAUAUGAAUUCUAUAGGAUAGUCUGUCCUGGUCUAGUGGAAGGUGUCCCUGCAUAUGGGGCCUGGAACGAGAUGAGCUUUUCCAACCCAAACCAUUCUGUGAUUCCAUGAUAUUGCUUUUCUACCUUAAUGCCAAUGGGUUCACCGCAUGUCAGUGUGAAAAAAGUCCCAACAAGUCUAAAAUAUAUUGGUAUUUUUAAAGAUCUUAUGUUCUUGAAACCAGUGGGAUCUUUGGCAGUUGCAUCUUCAAGGUGGGCAUUUGUCAUCC